GCUGUUUGAGGAGGCUCUGGAAUGAGCACUGGGCACGGUGCCCAAGUCAGACUGCAGAAGCGUUCCUUGCUGCCUUCCUAAGGGGAGCAGC